AGUGAAUAAGAAAAAGCUUGCUGUAGAACUUUGUGGACGAAUAAAAGAAAAAUGUGAACUACUUGACAAACAUAGCUUUGCGGAUAAAAAGAAUGAGAAUUUAGAGGCAUUUUUGAAAGAUUCCAGCUUUGAGGAGUCAAAUGAAGCACAAGCUUUGAAGACGAAACAAAGCAUAUGGACCCUGGACAAUGACACAAAAUUCCUCCAAUCACAAAUUACUGAA